GACGAACGCUGGCGGCGUGCUUAACACAUGCAAGUCGAACGGAAAGGCCCUGCUUUUGUGGGGUGCUCGAGUGGCGAACGGGUGAGUAACACGUGAGUAACCUGCCCUUGACUUUGGGGUAACUUCAGGAAACUGGGGCUAAUACCGGAUAGGAGCUCCUGCUGCAUGGUGGGGGUUGGAAAGUUUCGGCAGUUGGGGAUGGACUCGCGGCUUAUCAGCUUGUUGGUGGGGUAGUGGCUUACCAAGGCUUUGACGGGUAGCCGGCCUGAGAGGGUGACCGGCCACAUUGGGACUGAGAUACGGCCCAGACUCCUACGGGAGGCAGCAGUGGGGAAUAUUGCACAAUGGGCGGAAGCCUGAUGCAGCAACGCCGCGUGCGGGAUGACGGCCUUCGGGUUGUAAACCGCUUUCGCCUGUGACGAAGCGUGAGUGACGGUAAUGGGUAAAGAAGCACCGGCUAACUACGUG
rnacentral:rRNA from 1 species